rnacentral:rRNA from 1 species
UACGAAGGGGGCUAGCGUUGCUCGGAAUUACUGGGCGUAAAGCGCACGUAGGCGGCUUUCUAAGUCGGGGGUGAAAUCCUGGAGCUCAACUCCAGAACUGCCUUUGAUACUGGCGAUCUCGAGUCCGGGAGAGGUGAGUGGAACUGCGAGUGUAGAGGUGAAAUUCGUAGAUAUUCGCAAGAACACCAGUGGCGAAGGCGGCUCACUGGCCCGGUACUGACGCUGAGGUGCGAAAGCGUGGGGAGCGAACAGG